rnacentral:hammerhead_ribozyme from 1 species
AUUCCGUUGACAAGUCCCAAGUAGGGCGAAACGUGCGUCCUGGAU